UAAAGUUUCUGAGGAGUAAACAGUAUAGCUAACUUGUCUCAUUCGUCAUCUCCCUUUUCCAGGUAGGAAAAGAAAUACAGAAAAUAAUUGGAAUUUUAAGCGAAUUGGCACAUUCAGUUUCUCAGAAAAACAUUAAGUAUUUUUUUCUGAAGGCUGGUCUCGACCGGGUUUUAAAUCAACCGCUCCUUCUCAGCCAAUGCCCUCACUCACUCCUUCAAUUGUCGCACCUUGGCCGACCUCGAACGUUGUCACAUAUACUGAGAUUCUACUACUUGCCUACAUAGAUGGGACAAGUUACAGUGGACAAUUUAACCUACCAACACCCUUUGGGAUGUAACAGAAAACAGGAGGACCCAGGGCAAAAUCACAGAGUGACAGGGAGAACGUGCAAAUUCCACACAGACAUACCUGAGGUUAGCACUGGACAAGAGUCACUGGAGCUGAGAAGUGAUGGAACUGCUAAAUGUGCCACUAUAUCAUUGCAAGAGGAUGUGGAUAUCUCCGACACUACUGGCAUUUACCCCAGACAGGCACCAAACCGUGGAAGCAGCUAUGAAUCAACCACGUUGUUGGGUGUAGAGUCACAUGCAGACCACUUAGAGUAAAGCAAAAAAUUUAUUUUUCUGAUGGGUUCAUAUUGCAAUCUCAUAGUUCCAUAAUAAGAAUUAUUCUUGAUUUAACUUCUGUAAAUCCUGUGGUAGAAUUCAAAUUCAAGUCCUCAGAUCAAUUACCUGGAUCUUUGGCUUGUACAUUGAUGACACUAGUCCAUUAAUCUAACAUAUUUUGCCGUACCUCAAUUAGACAGAGUUGAAUUGACUUGUAUAAUCAUUCAGAGAAGUUUUGAAUGAUUAUAGCAAUGGGGAAGGUUGAGGGGAUUCAAAAUGUCAUCAAGCACUCUGACAAACUCUUACAGAUGUACUGUAGAAAUAUCCCGACUGUUUGCAUCAUGGUUUGAUUCUAGCAAUUUGAAUGCAUAGGAAAGUAUGAAGCUGCAGAGAGUAGUGGACUCAGCCCGACAUAUCACAUCUCUUGCCAUCAUCGGUAGUAUCUACAUGAGACAUUACCUCAAGAAGGAUCUGUCACCAAAGAUCCCCACCAUUUUAGCCAUGACUUCUUCUCACAGUUACCAUCAGACAAAGAGGUGCAACAGCCUGAAGUCACAUUCCACCAGGUUCAAGAACAGUUACUUUCCUUCAAUCAUUUGGUUCUUGAACAAUUGGCACAACAGCAAUCACUAUCUUAGUACUCCUGUUAUCACUUUGCAAAAAAUUGACUUUUUUGUUCUAGUUGCAUUCUUUCUUAUAAAAAUUGUGUAUAAUUUAUGUUUUAAUUAAUGUUUUUCUUGUGAAUCUUGCUUGUGUAAUACCAUGUGCCUGUGAGACUGCUGAAUUAAGAUGUAUACAUGACAAUAAACUUGAUUUUAACUUUGUUUUCAC